GGAGGCUAACUCCAAACGUUAACAAUGACAACAAGGCAGUCAGAGCCCUGGAGAGAGAUGCACUCCUCAACAUUGCCUGUUGCUGAAGAUUCAGAACUAGCAGCAACACCAAAACAAAAAGAUCAAGCUGGGGUAACCUGGGAAGGAUGCCUCCUCCCGCUCCCUCUCCUCCUUAUCCAGGGUCCCUUCCAGCUUCUCCAGGGUGCCUUCCAAGGUCCCUUUUAGCUUCUCCAGGGUCCCCUUCAGGAGUGAAGUGGACUGGGUGCACAGCCUGUGCUCCACCCCAGGAGCCUGGCAGUGCUGAGAGGAGAGUGUGUCACACCCCACGGGAGGGACCUUUUGCCACUGGGGACAAUGCAUUUGGGACACUUAUCUAUCAGCAGGAAGUUAAGAUACCCCAGCUGGGAACAGCUUUAAAAGUAAAAAGUUAUCUAUUAUGACAUCCGAGGGGAUUGCAUCAAUUAAUUCGUUAAAUCUAUUGGUGCUCCUGGAACUUUGGAGACUUUGUGUACAGUGGAGAAAACUCUGGACAUGAGUUACUUAACCUGGUUUUGAACCUCAUUCCUGCCUUUAGAGAUCUAGUGUGUCUGGGCAAACUACUCAAACUCUCUGGGCCACACUGACUUUAUCUUGUAAUGUGGGCAGUAAUAACUACUUCCUAAGAUCUUUAUGAAGAUUCUCUUAAAAGUAGUGUCUAUAAAACUCCUGGUGUAGUGUCUGGCAAGCAGAGGUAUACUAAUUCAAGUCCUGAUUGAGUUAUUAGGGCACAUUAUCUUACCAAAAUAGUAAGUGUUAGAAUCUUACAAGAACUCAGAAUCAAGGUUAAAAAGGAACAAGAAACACCAACCGUUCAGGACAAAGACUCUCGAUAUUAUUUAACUUGAAGGUGACAUUGUAACGAGAACUUCUCAGCUGGAGUUAAUUGAUUUGAACAAUUCAAGUCCACCAGGCAAAUCAGCCCAGGACAGCUUACCACGCUGGCCGAGUUAAUUUUUUUUUCACAUAGUUUUUGAACGGCUGCGAUGUUAAGAGGAGACCAAAGGCUGUGAGAUGGAGAAAAUAGAAUUCACUGAAUGUCAAGGGACUUGCCCAGGGACACACAGUGUGUAAGUGAAAGAUUGGGAUGUGAAUCCGUGUCCUGAUUUCAGGCUAAGAGCUCUCAGGUGUCAUUCUUAUAUACCCAGAGACAAAAUAAAGGCCAGACAUUCUUCUGGAUUUCUCCUUUUUGUUCCUACAACUUGACAAAAUAAUAUGUUCUCCAGCAAAAUGAUAAUACUUGAUAUUUCCUGGAAACAUUA
ensembl:lncRNA LINC01810 long intergenic non-protein coding RNA 1810